rnacentral:rRNA from 1 species
CCUACGGGUGGCAGCAGUGGGGAAUAUUGCACAAUGGGGGAAACCCUGAUGCAGCGACGCUGCGUGAGCGAUGAAGUAGUUCGGUAUGUAAAGCUCUAUCAGCAGGGGAGAAAAUGACGGUACCUGACUAAGAAGCCCCGGCCAACUACGUGCCAGCAGCCGCGGUAAUACGUAGGUGGCAAGCGUUAUCCGGAGUUACGGGGUGUAAAGGGAGCGGAGACGGGGGUGCAAGCCCGGUGUGAAAGCCCGGGGCUCAACCGCGGGACUGCAUUUGGAACUGUGCUGCUAGAGUGUCGGAGAGGCAGGCGGAAUUCGUGGUGUAGCGGUGAAAUGCGUAGAUAUUAGGAGGAACACCAGUGGCGAAGGCGGCCUGCUGGACGGUGACUGACGUUGAGGCUCGAAAGCGUGGGGAGCAAACAGGAUUAGAUACCCGAGUAGUC